rnacentral:lncRNA from 1 species
GUGACAACAAGAAUACUAUAUAAAGCUAGUGUGUCUGCAGUGCCCUUUGAAGGAUUUGUUUUGCUUUUGUUACACAAUGCCGUUUCCUUCACCUCCAUAAGGGAAAAAAAUUGUAAACUACUAAGUUGCGUAACAGGAUGCCUUUGAGAAAUCAUUUUUAUUAAGUGAACAAUGACAACUUCCCCUUCUUCCUACCUUUUACAUUUUUAACACAAGUUCUGCUUUUCAUGAGCCAGUUGACUUGGAAUGAAAGGUCUACUUGGACCAGCAGUGAGCCUAGGCAUAACUUGUCCCUAGGUGGCGCCCCAGCUUUGUGCUACCAGGGUCCCCUUCUCAACAGCAGAUCAAUGCAGCAGCUCUCGGGAAACAUCCUUCUCCUGUCUUAGGAACUGAAGGGGAAGGGAAUCAGCAGUAAAGAAACCCAGGGCAGCAGGUGGGAACAAAUGUCCCCACCCUGGCCAGUGCCCCAGUGGCCUAUAGCCAAGGAAACUUCCCUUCACUUCUCAGUGAAAGUGCAGCAGAGGUGAAACCCAAAAGCUAGGGAGUCCAGGCUGACCGAGCCUCUGAGCGAGCAGAUCACACACCCUCUCAGAGGCACUGAGCAUCAGAGCAAGUGAGGACAGCUCCACUCCUGCUUCACCAGCUGAGAGCAGAGGAGAGGUGCUGGGGACACAGUCUGCAGAGCAGGGAAGAUGGGACUGCAAUCAUGACAUCCCUACACAUCUGCCCCCAUGGAACCCAGGGGUUCCACUGACUCUCCCUGGCCCCUGUAUUUAUCAGACGGCCCACAGCUGCCCAGCCUCCCUCCUGCCAACAGUCAGGGUACAGGGCUUCUUCUCUACCUGACCUCACUUUCCUGGACAACAUCUGGCUGGGAAACAGCUAGGGCACACAGAUGGGGCAACAAGUGCUCCUUCCCCAAGGACCACCAGGCUGCAGAGGCGAGAACGCUGCCAUCAGCUCCAUUCACACACCCUAGUGCCUCUGGUCUGACAGCCUCAGUGAAGACACAAGCAUGUGAUGGUUGAAUCUUUCCAGGAAUACAGCCAGCGUGGAGGAUGAGUCCCCACCUGUCUGCUCUGCAGCAUCUCCUCUCCCCAUAAUUCCACUGCAUUCCCUAAGAUCAAAGGGAACUCAUGAGACAGGUUCCUCUGAAGCCAGUUUGGCCUGAACUCAGCACAGCCAGCAUGCAGACACAUUCCAGAAGCCUGGACUGGUUUAGAAACAAGUGGCACUGGCAAGAGCAAAAUCUGAACUUGAGAUUUGAACAUGCAGUUCCCUGGGAGCCUUCAAGAGAAGAUAACAUCAGUGAGGGAACAUGCCGAUACCAACAGCAAGCUCUUCUGGCUGUUCACUCACACACACACACACACACACACACACUUGGAGUCAUUCCUAAGACUACUUUUGCAGAUUACAUAGACAAACCAUUCCCCAGGAUAUGAGACCCACGGUGCAGAUAAGACAGAACUCAAUCUCAAACCAUUCUAACCUUUGUACCUAGUCCAAUCACAUGCCCAGUGGUGGGUCCCCAGGUAGACUCAGGGGUCUAGGCUUUCAUCUUCUGGAGAGAACUAACAAUACCCCCAGCCUUGCCAUCUCCUGACCACAUGCAUCAGGUCCCUGCCCAGUGGCUUUUUGCUCCCCAAACACAACUUAGAGCCCUGAGCCCAUGCAGACCUGCCCAGCCCUGAGAGGAAGCAGUCCACCAGAGGGGAGGAGUUCCCUUCCGUAUUCUGCUAGUCCAGCAUGGAUGUGAACUCCAUGAGGGCCUGGGCCCGUGGGCUGCUCUUCUCACUGUGCUGGGAACAGGUCUCCCUUGGAGGAGAUAAUGACUGAGUGAAACAAGACCAUGUGAGGAAGGACCCCAUAGAACAUUCUAAGUCAAUUUUACAACCAGAGGAGGAAGUUGUCUUUAUAUGGGUGCAAAGCAACUUGUUUUCACCAAACAAUUGUAUAGGGUGCAAACAAAUCUUAAGACCAGAAAUGUUUACAAUUUCCUCAGUAAACAGGAAAAAUAGUGCUUUAAGCUAUAGCACACUGCUUUAUGUUUAAAAACCACACAGACAGCUGAUAAUAUUGUGUAAAAUAUUUUGUUUAGAGGGUAAAUCUCAUGUUACAUGUUCUUACUGCAUUAAAGGAGAGUAUGAGGAAAUUUGGGAGGGGGUGAUGAAAUCCUUCUAUAAAUAGAUUUAUUACCUUGAUAUGGUGAUGAUUUCAGAGGUAUUUGUAUAUGUCCAAUCUCAUCAAAUUGUACACAUUAAAUACAUGCAAUUGUUUGUACAUCAAUUAUCUCUCAAUAAAAC